AAGCCUCCACCAUCACUCUCUCUACCUCCUCUCUCUCUCUCUCAAAACCUCUUCCGCCGCUAGCUCUCUCCGAUAUCCCUCCCCGUCGCCGCUCUGCCACCAAUGACGACAGCAAUACUGCAGCCCUCCGUUCGCCCCUUCGGUGGAACCAGCCGCCGCCGUCAACGCCUAAUACUGGCGCCGUCCCCCUCGCCUCCUCCUUCUCCUCGUUCACCAUCCCUCCUCUGGCACCGUCCUCUCCAACGAAACCAACAAACCAACGUCGUCUUCCACCGCUGAAACAGCCAUCGCUUCACUAUAAAACAAUGGGUUCAUAAGAACCCAUCCUAGGUUAGAUUCCAUAUUUUAUUUUUUCUCUCCUAAUGUGACAGAUUUAUGUGAUUAGAAGUUAAUUUGAUUAAGUAUGUUGAUAAAAUCUUGUGUGCUUUAGUUUGAUUAAUUAUCUAUGCUGUUUGCAUGAGGAUUCUCCAAUUUUAUUGUAUUAUUGGGGAUUUUUUUUUGUUUUCUUGAAAUUGUUAUAUGUGUGUAUGUUUUGAUGUAGUUCAUAUCGAAAAAUUAAACUAGUAAGGUAUUUGACUGUGUCUGCUCCUUACCGAUAGUACUAGAAAGGAGAACAAAAUUCUAACUAGAAAAAGAGGUGUAGGUAUGAAGUCUGGGACUAAUUAAAAACCACACACAUGAUUAUGAAUAGUUGUAGAUUGAUUUUUUUGGUGUUAUUAGUUGAUUUUAGUUAAUUGGUUCCUGGACCACCAGUUUAGGGCACAAAGCAACACACAACUUUUAUUAUUUUUUCUACCACUUGCCUAAUCAUUCAAAUUGUCUUUUUUGACUGACAAGGAUUAUACAAAAUUGUAGCCAUGUGUUAUGUUAUUAUAAUUUUAUUUUAAAUUCUCUAUAUUGUUACUUUAAAAAAAAAAAAAAACUAUCAAGUCAUUUACGGAAUAUUUAUGGGUAAAAUUCUUUAAAAUGUUAAAUUUCUAGUUUUGAAAAUAAGACAGGUUCUAAGUUGAUUGAAACAGAGAUAUGAUUGGGGAUUUAGAAAUGCUUGAGCAAAAACUAUUCCAUCUAAUGGAUCUGAUUGGAACUAUUCUGAAAUAACUAUUUAAAAAUAGUUAGUGUAGUGACUUGAAAUGUGUACUAGUGACUUGAAAAUAGUUAAGUAUAGUGACUUGAAAAUGUGAAUUAGUUAAUUGAAAAUAGUUAAGUGUAGUGACUUCAAAUGCUAGUACAUGACUUGAAAAUGUUUAAGUGUAGGGACUUUAAAGGGAAUUUUUUUGUUUUAAGGUACUUGAAAUGUGGACUUGUAUUUUGAAUUUAGUUAAGUGUGGUUACUUGAGAAGUGAAUAAGUACUUGAAAAUGUUUAAGUGUAGGUUGUUGAAAUGUGGACUUGUGUUUUGAAUUUUGUUAAGUAUGGUCAUUUGUGAAGUGAAUUAGUCACUUGGAAUGUUUACAUGUAGUUACUUGAAUUAUGAACUUGUGUUUUGAAUAUAGUUAAGUGUGGUCACUUGAGAAGUGAGUUAGUGACUUGAACAUGUUUAAGUGUAGGUACUUGAAAUGUAGACUUGUGUUUUGAAUAUAGUUAAGUGUGGUCACUUGAGAAGUGAGUUAGUGACUUGAACAUGUUUAAGUGUAGGUACUUGAAAUGUAGACUUGUGUUUUGAAUAUAGUUAAGUGUGGUCACUUGAGAAGUGAGUUAGUGACUUGAACAUGUUUAAGUGUAGGUACUUGAAAUGUAGACUUGUGUUUUGAAUAUAGUGAAGAGUGGUCACUUGAGAAGUGCAUUAGUGAGUCGAAAAUGUUUUAAGUGUAGUUACUUGAAAGGUGGACUUAUGUUUUGAAUUUAGUUAAGUGUGGUCACUUGAGAAGUGAAUAAGUACAUGAAAAUGUUUAAGUGUAGGUAGUUGAAAUGUGGACUUGUGUUUUGAAUAUAGUUAAGUGUGGUCACUUGAGAAGUGAGUGUAGUCACUUGAGAAGUGCAUUAGUGAGUCGUAAAUGUUUAAGUGUAGUUACUUGAAAGGUGGAAUAGUAACUUUUGUUUUGAAUUUAGGUACUUGAAAUGUGAACUUGCAGUAAAGUGUGGUCACUUGAGAAGUGAAUUAGUGACUUCAAAAUGUUUUUAAGUGUAGGUACGUUUUUUCAUUUUGAAUUAAGUUUAGUUUAGUAACUUGUGAAGUGAAUUAGUUACUUGAAAAUGUUUAGGUGUAGGUAUUUGAAAUGUGAACUUUUUUGACUUGAACUAAUCACUUAUUUGAUUGAUUGUGUAGAUGAAAUUUGAUUAUUGCUGGAUAUAUCAACGAAAUAUCGAUAAUAGAAUGGAUAAGGCUGAGAAUGAAGUUGCGGAUAAUGAGUUGUAGUUUUUAGUAUUUUAUAUGUUUUAUAGUUUGGAUUUGGAACCUCGAUAAAUUUUGUAAAUAAUGUUUGUAUUCUUAUGGUGAUUGGUUGAUUGUAUAUUAAAUAAUUGGUGGGAUGUGUUGUAGAUAAUAAUCAAUGUUUUUAAAUGAUUGUGGUCGGCUAUAUUGUAAAUAAUUUGAUUUUUAAUUUUUGUAUUUUAAAAAAUUUCAAUAUUUUUUUUACAAAAUUAUCAAAAAAACCGACCACAUGUGGUAGCUUUUUAAAAAGUUUUCAAUAUUUUU
rnacentral:lncRNA from 1 species